AGCGAACGCUGGCGGCAGGCCUAAUACAUGCAAGUCGAACGGCUCUUCGGAGCAGUGGCGGACGGGUGAGUAACGCGUGGGAAUGUGCCCUUAGGUACGGAACAACACAGGGAAACUUGUGCUAAUACCGUAUGUGCCCUUCGGGGGAAAGAUUUAUCGCCUUUGGAGCAGCCCGCGUUGGAUUAGGUAGUUGGUGAGGUAAAGGCUCACCAAGCCGACGAUCCAUAGCUGGUCUGAGAGGAUGACCAGCAACACUGGGACUGAGACACGGCCCAGACUCCUACGGGAGGCAGCAGUAGGGAAUCUUGCGCAAUGGGCGAAAGCCUGACGCAGCCAUGCCGCGUGUAUGAUGAAGGUCUUAGGAUUGUAAAAUACUUUCACCGGGGACGAUAAUGACGGUACCCGGAGAAGAAGCCCCGGCUAACUUCGUGCCAGCCGCCGCUGUAAGAC
rnacentral:rRNA from 1 species